AUACAUUUUAAAAAUUCUUCAACUUCAAAAUUUAAGUCUAAGGACAGGUUACUUAGAAAUAAAGGUUUUGCUUGUAUUUCCACAGAAAAUAAAAAGCUGUGGAUUCCUUCCAGACUAAUAUGGUUUGAUCAAGCAAGACCCCCUGAAGCUGAGACGAUACAGCCUUACAGACUACAAAAACAAGGACUUGGAUGAAGUUAGGUAGAGAUUAAAUGAGCCCAUGAACUCAAAGAUGAAGACAAGUUGCUGCAUCAAUCAAGGAAGCCUGAAGCCUUCACUCUUUCUGGAUUUACUAUUUCAUCAGGUGGUAU
rnacentral:lncRNA from 1 species